CCAAUGCCGACGCAUGCGCACUCUUAAUAGCAUCCUUUAGUAUUAUGCGUAGAGAAAUGUAUAAUCUUAUUCUUUGCACUCUCUUUCGUCUUCCCAUUUUGAGAUGCAUUUUUUUCCUGCUUUUUCAGAACAUACAAUGUUUAUGUAUUAUUCUUAUACCCAUAAUUCCAGCCUUAUUUUAGCCUGGGCUCUGCAAUAUAGGAAAUGCUCACCGUCAGUUCCUUUGCCAAUUUCUCCUAUCGUCUCUUAUUGGGUGAAGCCCAUCGUCUGGUAUGAGAGUGAAAGCGCAGGUGCUCUGGGUGCACACGGGAAGGCAUGGACGCCAUCUCUUGAGAAACCAGAAAGCUACCAAGAGGAAGUCAUGCUGUCUAGUUUGAGAUCCAAAGGAUCAUGUGCCAAAGGAGGAGAUACAUCGAGUGUCUCUCAGAGAAAACCCCAGAAACCAGUUUCAGUGAUUGCCCUUGGCGGGGAUAGUAUAUGACUUGAAAACAGAGACGGGAGACAGACUUCCUCUACAUUAUCUACGCUUUUGUACCUUUUGCA